GACGAACGCUGGCGGCGUGCCUAAUACAUGCAAGUAGGACGCAGUUGCGAACGGGUGAGUAACGCGUAGGUAACUACCUAUUAGAGGGGGAUAACUAUUGGAAACGAUAGCUAAUACCGCAUACUAGUAGAUGGACCUGCGUUGUAUUAGGUAGUAGGUAGGGUAAUGGCCUACCUAGGCAACGAUACAUAGCCGACCUGGGAGGGUGGUCGGCCACAAUGGGACUGAGAAACGGCCCAGAAUCCUACGGGGAGCAGCAGUAGGGAAUGUUCGGCAAUGGGGGGAAACCUGACCGAGCAAAGCCGCGUGAGUGAAGAAGGUUUUCGGAUCGGAAAGCUCUGGUGUUAAGGAAGCGGUACUUAACCAGAAAGGGACGGCUAACUACGUGCCAGCCGCCGCGGUAAUUC
rnacentral:rRNA from 1 species